CCAAUAGCGUAUAUUAAAGUUGUUGCAGUUAAAAAGCUCGUAGUUGAAUUUCGGGAUCAAUUGAUUGGUCAUGCCUUGGUAUGUACUGGUCAUAUUGGUUCUCACCUUCUAAUGAACCAUAAUGUCAUUUAUUUGAUGUUAUGGGGAAUUAGGACUGUUACCUUGAAAAAAUUAGAGUGUUUAAAGCAGGCUUACGCUUGAAUACAUUAGCAUGGAAUAAUGAAAUAGGACAUCGCAUUCUAUUUUGUUGGUUUCUAGGAUCGAUGUAAUGAUUAAUAGGGAUAGUUGGGGGCAUUAGUAUUCAAUUGUCAGAGGUGAAAUUCUUGGAUUUAUUGAAGACUAACUACUGCGAAAGCAUUUGCCAAGGAUGUUUUCAUUAAUCAAGAACGAAAGUUAGGGGAUCGAAGACGAUCAGAUACCGUCGUAGUCUUAACCAUAAACUAUGCCGACUAGGGAUCGGAUGAUGUUGAUUUUUAAAUGACUCAUUCGGCACCUUACG
rnacentral:rRNA from 1 species